rnacentral:rRNA from 1 species
GGAUCAGGUAGGGAUACCCGCUGAACUUAAGCAUAUCAAUAAGCGGAGGAAAAGAAACCAACAGGGAUUGCUCUAGUAACGGCGAGUGAAGCAGCAAUAGCUCAAAUUUGAAAUCUGGCGUCUUCGACGUCCGAGUUGUAAUUUGUAGAGGAUGCUUCUGAGUAACCACCGACCUAAGUUCCUUGGAACAGGACGUCAUAGAGGGUGAGAAUCCCGUAUGCGGUCGGAAAGGUGCUCUAUACGUAGCUCCUUCGACGAGUCGAGUUGUUUGGGAAUGCAGCUCUAAAUGGGAGGUAAAUUUCUUCUAAAGCUAAAUAUUGGCCAGAGACCGAUAGCGCACAAGUAGAGUGAUCGAAAGAUGAAAAGCACUUUGGAAAGAGAGUUAAAAAGCACGUGAAAUUGUUAAAAGGGAAGGGAUUGCAACCAGACUUGCUCGCGGUGUUCCGCCGGUCUUCUGACCGGUCUACUCGCCGCGUUGCAGGCCAGCAUCGUCUGGUGCCGCUGGAUAAGACUUGAGGAAUGUAGCUCCCUCGGGAGUGUUAUAGCCUCUUGUGAUGCAGCGAGCGCCGGGCGAGGUCCGCGCUUCGGCUAGGAUGCUGGCGUAAUGGUCGUAAUCCGCCCGUCUUGAAACACGGACCAAGGAGUCUAACAUCUAUGCGAGUGUUCGGGUGUCAAACCCCUACGCGUAAUGAAAGUGAACGGAGGUGAGAACCGCAAGGUGCAUCAUCGACCGAUCCUGAUGUCUUCGGAUGGAUUUGAGUAAGAGCAUAGCUGUUGGGACCCGAAAGAUGGUGAACUAUGCCUGAAUAGGGUGAAGCCAGAGGAAACUCUGGUGGAGGCUCG